UUCGCCCUUUUCCGGUUGAUCCUGCCGGAGGUUACUGCUAUCGGUGUUCGACUAAGCCAUGCGAGUCAAAUGUUCUUCGUGAACAUGGCGGACUGCUCAGUAACACGUGGAUAACCUGCCCUUAGGUUCGGCAUAACUCCGGGAAACUGGAGAUAAUUCCGAAUAGGUCAAAUAUGCUGGAACGCUUUUUGGCCAAAAGACCUCGGUUGCCUAAGGAUGGAUCUGCGGUCUAUCAGGUUGUAGUGGGUGUAACGUACCUACUAGCCUACGACGGAUAUGGGUUGUGAGAGCAAGAGCCCAGAGAUGGAUUCUGAGACAUGAAUCCAGGCCCUACGGGGCGCAGCAGGCGCGAAAACUUUACAAUGCGGGAAACCGCGAUAAGGGGACACCGAGUGCCAGCAUUUAUGUUGGCUGUCCACAUGUGUAAACGGCAUGUGUUAGCAAGGGCCGGGCAAGACCGGUGCCAGCCGCCGCGGUAACACCGGCGGCCCGAGUGGUAAUCACUUUUAUUGGGUCUAAAGGGUCCGUAGCCGGUUUGAUCAGUUCUUCGGGAAAUCUGACAGCUCAACUGUUAGGCUUCCGGGGAAUACUGUCAGACUUGGGACCGGGAGAGGUAAGAGGUACUACAGGGGUAGGAGUGAAAUCUUGUAAUCCCUGUGGGACCACCAGUGGCGAAGGCGUCUUACCAGAACGGGUCCGACGGUGAGGGACGAAAGCUGGGGGCACGAACCGGAUUAGAUACCCGGGUAGUCC
rnacentral:rRNA from 1 species